GUUAGGAAUAUUGGACAAUGGGCGCAAGCCUGAUCCAGCCAUGCCGCGUGAGUGAUGAAGGCCUUCGGGUUGUAAAGCUCUUUAGCCGAUGAUUAUAAUGACUGUAGUCGGAAAAUAAGCCCCGGCUAACUUCGUGCCAGCAGCCGCGGUAAUACGAAGGGGGCGAGCGUUAUUCGGAAUCACUGGGCGUAAAGCGUGCGUAGGCGGUUUUGUAAGUUAGGAGUGAAAGCCCAGGGCUCAACCCUGGAAUUGCUCUUAAAACUACAAGGCUAGAAUGUCGGAGAGGAUAGCGGAAUUUCCAGUGUAGCAGUGAAAUGCGUAGAUAUUGGAAGGAACACCAGUGGCGUAAGCGGCUAUCUGGACGACUAUUGACGCUGAGGCACGAAAGCGUGGGGAUCAAACAGGAUUAGAUACCCGAGUAGUCC
rnacentral:rRNA from 1 species